rfam:Bacterium F083 scaffold_5, whole genome shotgun sequence.
GGAGAGAUGCCGGAGUGGUCGAUCGGGGCGGUCUCGAAAACCGUUGAACGCUUUGCGUUCCAAGGGUUCGAAUCCCUUUCUCUCCG